GUCUCACCCCUGCACCAGCGGGCUGUCUUGCCAUCACUGCAGACACAGCAGCAUCUCCACUCCUUCCUGCCCGUCCUUGCCUGGGGGUUGGUGGACUGGCAUUCACUGCUGGAGGGGAGCUGCCUCAUUAUCAGAUAACAAGUUUAAAAUGACAAGAAUUUGUUUUUCUCAUGGAAACAAUGGACAGCUGCGUGGGGGCAGUGCGUGAGAGGUUCUUUUGUGAGAGGGGCUUCCUGAAACUUGACCUUGGUUUUUCCGCCCAUCCAUGGGGAAAUGGGCAGUGAAGGCUUGGAGGAAGAGGACUGGGACCUGCAGUACCUCUAUGCCUCCAUGCUCUCCAUCCUCUGUGUCUGGGCCAGGCUGGCGCCAACUGGAAUACCACUCUAGGAGCCCUUCUCCUCUUGCUCCUUCCAGGCCCGGCCAGGGAGCUGGAGUCCCAUGUGGCUCAGGCCCCACUUGAACAUGGCCGCUCUCCAUGGGGUUGGCCCCGAGCAGCUCCCUCGGCGUGGGGGCUCUGGCGCCUCUCCACCUGCAGGUGAGCCCGGGAGGGUUGUCUGCAGCCAAAAUCAAGUGUGCAUUCUGUGCCAGGCCCUGCCCUCUCCAGCUGGGCACAUGCUCUCAGGGCAGCUGUUAUGAGACCCCCACACUGCCCCCACCCAUGGCCCUGGGCUGGGCUCCAGGCUAUAGCCUGGUGACUGCCCUGCCCAGUGCCCACACUCCCAGGGCCCCAGACCCUUGAAGACACCUUACCCCUGCACCAGUGGGCUCCCUUGCCUUUGCUGGAGACACAGCAGCACCUGUGGGCCACAUCUGUAGGAUGCCACAUGGCCACUCCUUCCUGCCCCCCUGGCCUGUGGGUUGGUGGACUGGGGUUCACAGUGGGAGAACAGCAUGUGGGAACCACAUUAUUAUGGGGUAACAAGUUUAAAAUGACAAGAAUUUGUUUUUCUCAUGAAUCUUCAAUUUGGGCUUGGCUAGGCAGAGACUGCCCCUCAUGGUGUCACUGCGAGCCCCCUGACGGGGCCAGAGGGUCUCUUCCAAAAGGACACACUCGCUUGGCAGGCUGCUGCAGCACAUCACUUCCACAUGGGAUAUUGAGUGGAAAAGUCACAGUGGCUCCCUCAGGUGCGAGGAGUGGGGACACUGGCUCCACCUCUUGAUGGCUGAGUGGCAGGGAUUCUAGAAGAGCCCGUGGAAUGGGAUAGGCUAUGGCUGACAGUUUUGGGAACGAUCUGGCCGGCUCAAGGCUGCCCUGCUCUAUUCAUACCUUGUGUGAUCCCCUCCCCUUGACUGUGGGCUGGACUCAUUGACUCACUUCUGAUGGACAAAAUCUGGCAGAGGAAUGGGGCAUCACUUCCAAGAUUCAACUAUGAGAAGGUUGUGGCUUCUGUCCUGGGUGCUUUCUCUCACUCUGUCAGGUCACUCAUCCUGGGGGAAAGCUGGCUGCCACGCUGUAAAGGAACCUUGCAGAGAAGUCCACACAGCAAGGGAUCAGGCCUCUCAAAGCCACAGGGGAGCACUUGGAGGCUGAUCCUUAGCUGGUCCUCCGGAUGAGGCUGCAGUCCGCUGACAACUUGACUGCAUCCUCCUGACCGACCUGGUGAGGGGCUCCCAGCAGAGCCAAGUUCAG
rnacentral:lncRNA from 1 species